GGGGUUGGGUUGGUUUUGACAGCAAGGUAGAGGCUCAAGCAAGCACGCAGUUACAGGUAACAAUUAACUUAAAACUUGGUUACGAAAAAUUAAUUGGCGAAAAUAAUUACGCUCUUGCUGCGUAGUCGAAGUAUAGUACACUACUCUUUAUCGGCACAAGGUUGCUGAGCAAGACGCUCCUGAGAAGAUUCCUAACCUUCGGUUUUCUCAAUCAAGGGGUGCAUCAUCAGAAAGGUUUAGUCAGACAAAUGCCUCGUGUGUCCGAUGAAAUUUUUAGAGGCUAAGCAAAAGGAAAGCGUGUCUAUUCACUGCCUUGCGCCGACAAUUGAACAAUAGAAUAAGCGUGUAGAAAACUUCGGUUUCUCUUGUUUGGACCAGAGUUCGAAUCUCUGCAACUCCAC
rnacentral:tmRNA from 1 species